rnacentral:lncRNA from 1 species
UCCUUGAUACCUACAGAGCCAUUGACUUCUCAGAAAACGAACUUGGAGGACAGAUUCCAGAAUCUAUAAGUCUUUUGAAGUCGCUUAUUGUGCUCGACCUAUCCAGCAAUGAUUUCAGUGGUCAUAUUCCUUCCUCUUGGUCUAAUCUCACGAGCCUCGAGUCUCUAGACCUAUCUCGGAACCAACUGUCUGGAAAAAUCCCGCAGGAGCUAGCAACCCUCUCGUUCUUGGAGUACAUCAACGUUUCGCAUAACAAACUCACGGGCCAGAUACCACAGGGUACACAGAUCGUAGGACAGAGCAAAUCUUCUUUUGAAGGGAAUCUCAAUCUUUGUGGUCUUCCUCUUGAGAAGAGUUGCUUUGGGGACAAAGCACCAUCAACACCAGAGGCACAAGAGCCUGAACCUCCAAAGAAAGAACAAGUGUUGAACUGGCAAGCAGCAGUAAUGGGAUACGGCCCAGGAGUCUUGUUUGGACUCGCGAUUGGACAUGUCUUUUAUUCGCACAAACCUGUGUUGUUCUACAAGUUGUUUCGUCUCUGAAGUGAAGUUUAUGCCUUUGGUUUUGUUGAAGUAAGUUGUAAGGGUUUUUGUAACCGUUUCGACAUAGAUAUGUGUGUGAUAUGUAUUUUCACAUGAAAUGAAAGGAAACCGUGCGUAGGUUUUUCUUUUCUUUACAGAAACAUGAAAACAGAGGGGGGUCUACUCUGUUCUUCUUGGAUACACUUGUAACAUUAAGGUUAUUGUCCAUCUAGCAUUAGUAUCAGAAUCUUUCAUUUAGCUGCACAACAUAUUAGUCUUGUCUGGUUUUGUAUUCUCUAUUGCUCAUUUCUCGUUUAUCGUUAUUAGAUAACAUAUUAGACUACCUCAUUCAGUAAAACCUUUGCAUGAUACCAAACAAGGGAGCUUGGGCAUGAACAUAAUCCUUUUGCUGACAAAAAAUGUUACACUGGGAGUAAUGUCUUCUGUUAUGAUGAUCCAUCACAUUCUACUAUUUCCCCUUCUUCUAGUCCAUUGGUUUUUCAAAUCAGUAGCUAGACUAUGGAGAUUUCAGUCAUCAUCAGAAUCAAAUCCUUUUGCAAACUCACAUUCAAAGUUGAAAUAAUCACAUGGGUCCAUCUCCGCGAAAAGAUCAGAGUAUGUGUCUAUUAACCCUUGCUCAAACUCAAGCUCCAUGUUAUCAGAAUCAUCCCCUUUUUUUAUGUUGGAUCAACCUGAGGAUGUGGAUUUUUGGUAUCCCCUCCCUCAACCUUUCUAUCCUCUGAGACUUGUUGGAAAAGAUCAAGAACCUCUGGCUCAAAGGAGUUCAUCUUGUCUUCUUCUAUUUCCUCUUUUGGUGAGUUUACUACACCUUUUGUAUCUCCGUGGCCAUAAUACAAUUAGGAUCAGGUGUGGUGUAUAAAUGGUGGAAGUCUCUGAUAACUUCAAAGUCAAAGCUCUGGGAAGGUAGAUAAACAUGGAUCACAGUGUACUCUACAAUAGCUACUUUGACAAGCUGUUGCCUCAAAGAAGCCUUAAUGUCCAGCUCCUUGAAAGGAGCCUUUGCACCCUGCAACAAAAAUGGGAGUUAAAGUAAAUACCUUUGGGCAUUGGCGAAUAAAGAGUUUGAGAGAAACAAGAUCAACAUCACAAAAAGGCUUGAGCUUAUGAAUCCAAGGGCCUGGCUUAAGAUGAUUCUCUAUCACAGAGCACAGACUUGUAUCUUCACCAACUCUGUGAUGGAUUGCUUCAACGUCGUCAAAUAGAGCAAAAAAAAACAUUCUUCUAGUUAAAUGGGUCGGGUUCUCCUGUCGGGUCGGGUCCCUUGAGAGGUACUCCUCAUUUUCUGCAACCGCGGGUUUAGGUUUCUGUCAAUUUGGUUGCUGACUAAUUCAAAUUUGGUGUCAGUUUGUUCAGAAAGAACAUAGCUUUUGCUUGGCAAGUUUGCUCCUUUAGUAAAUGAUUAGCUUCUUAGUUGAUUAGUUGAAUGAGUAUUAGAGACUAUUCUCGAAGAUGAUGCAAGUUUGCUCCUUUUGUUUCAUUUGUAGAUGGUUAAGCUUCUAGUUAGUUAAUCAGUGGAAUGAGUAUUAGAGACAAUGCUCGAGAUGUGGAAGACUUGAAAACUCCUUUUAUAUCUCAGCUAUGUGUUAAGCUGCUUUUGCUCCUAAAAAUGCAAUCUUGCGGGCAUAAGCAGUUUGAUUCUUCUUGCUCUUCCCCCUGUCACAUUUUCUUAGUUUUGUAAAACUUUGGUACGUAGGUUGCCCCUCCCCCAACUUCAACUUCAACUUGUCUCUGUUUCACUGAUAGUAUAGAAGAGAAUUUGUUCUAGAAACUUAGCUACCUUGCUGUUUUUGUUUUCCAUGUUAUUACAAAGCGGGAUGCCUACAACUUAAUCUCUGUUUUUCAUUUUCUUUUGAACUGUUUGUUAGAUUGAAAAUGUGGAAACGACAUUUGUCAAGUUUAGGCUGUGAUACUGAUCGUAUGUUUUUUUCCAGGUUAGAAUCACUCACGAAGCUUCUUUUUACUCACUUAGUCGAUCUUGGUUGAGAAAUGGUGCCCAUGAAGGGAUUCAGGUUCGCCAUCACUUUGUGUUCUACUCUUUAAGUUUCUUAGAUGUUUCCUCUUGACGUCAAAAAAUCAUGGGUUGUACUUUUGGGUCUUAUAAUCUCAGCGUAAUAAGUGGGACUACUACUCUAACUUCUAGUUUCUUUGUUGACAGUCGCAAAGGAGCGAGACAUUGAAACCCUUACCAAAGCCAUUACCUCUGGAUCUAAUGGAAGCAUCUGAAGAACCACCUGAUGAAGAUAAAGAGGUUUGCGUUUCCUCUUCAAGAACCAAAAAGUUCUCUCAGAGCGGGACACAUUAGUCCAAGCUCUUGAACAGUUACUAACUGAUGCUUGAUUCAACUCUCAGGACGAGGAGUCUGUGAAAGAAUUAUCAGAGAAGGAUCUUUUGAAAAGACACAUCGAGACACUCAGAUUCUUAAGUCUGUAAGUUCCACAAUAGCUCUCCCUCCUCUUUUCCUCUUAAGUCUGUAGCAUCUAAACUAUGUUCAUCACCAAAAACACUCAGAUUCUUGGAGAUUCUUGGAUGUGUUAUAUGUUAGAUGAAAGCAAUGUAGCAGAACAUUUUUGGUGAUUUGUUUGGUUUCAGAUUAAGAGAAGAAAGGUCGAGGAAAAUUGCGAGAAAGAAAGCAAGAUUGGCUCUUCUUCUGCAACGUUCUGGAGAGCAGCAGUGCAUGGAGAAGGAUUGAAAUGGUAGAAGUUUUGCUACGAGUUACUCAGCUUUCUAUAUAUGACUGUUGCUAAUUUUAGCAUAACACCUUUUACCGUACCUGUAAGAUAGUACCUGUGUUCUUCUUUCUCUCCUAUAGAUUGGUAGAGUUUCUUUCUCUCCUAUAGUCUUGUUUCUUUGUGUGUAAAUCCUAUUCCUAUAAGAGAAAUACUUGGGUUCACCCCCUAGGGUGAACCUCUAGGUUCACCAACCAAUAGUGUUUGAGUAUUUGAUAUUUGAUAUCUUUUAAAAAAGGAAAUAAAAUUGAAUAUCCAAAUUAGAUUAUAUCUUUAAAAUCAAAUAAUAAAAAUACAUAAAAAUAGUUACAAAAAAUAAAUAAAUUAAUAUUAUUAAGUCUUCAGCAAAAUAUUAAACCCUAUACCCUAAAUCCUAAACCCUAUACCCUAAACGUUAAACCUUAAACUUUGGAUAAACUUUAAACAUUGGAAAAUCUUAAACCCUAAAUUAUACAUUAAAAAUUAAAUUUUAAUAAAACUAAACCCUAAAUCCUAAUCACUAAACCCUAAACCCUUGGGUAAACUCUGAACCCUUGGGUAAAUUCUAAACCCUUGGAUAAAUCAUAAACUCUAGGAUUUAAUUUUAAGUAUUUUUAAUUUAGAGUUUAUGAUUUAUCCAAGGGUUCAGGCUUUAUCCACGGGUUUAUGCUUUAGUGAUUAGGGUUUAGGAUUUAGGGUUUAGUCUUAUUAAGAUUUAGUUUUGAUGUAUGACUUAGGGUUUAAAAUUUUCCAAUGGUUUACGGUUUAUCCAAGAUUUAAGGUUUAUAAUUUAGGGUUUGGAGUUUAGAAUUUAGGGUAUAGGAUUUAGUAUUUUGCUAACAUUUUAACAAUAUUUAUUUAUUUAUUUUUUGUAACUAUAUUUAUGUAUUUUUAUUGUUUUAUUUUAAAAAUCUAUAUCAUAUUUGGAAAUUCAAUUUUAUUUCCUUUUUUAAAAGAUAUCAAAUAUCAAAUACUCAAACACUAUUGGUUGGUGAACCUAGAGGUUCACCUUAGGGGGUGAACCCAAGAAUUUCUCUUCCUAUAAUGGUAAUAUUGGUUUGGACUUGGUGGUUCUAGUGGGAGAAAUAAUUGUGAGAGAGAGCCCUUUUAUUCGGGUUCUCAAGAUUGACUCACCGGUUAACGAGAUAACCGACAUUACUAAUUUCAGGUUUUCAAAACUUACAUCAGGCAAUUUUGGUUAUAGUUUUAGUAGUCUGGACUAUGAUUAGGUGCCUCUGGUAUGUCCACAGAACAAAGCCUUGGUGUUUAUUCUUGCUUGUAUAGGAACAGAGCUGAGCUUUUGUCUGACUCAUAAACCUAUUGUAUUGCCUAACCUUGAGCCCUUUGGUUUUCUGGUUUCUGCAGUUGGAAAAGCAUUUGCUGCCGCUACUGUUAUCGUCUUUGGCUCAGCCACUUUGGUUUUGGAACCGCAGCCUCGAAGCUUAGACAUGCUUAAUGUAAGAUUUGCACAUGUUUCUUUGUUUUUAGAUAAAUAUUUUUGAGAUUCACAUUUGUAAGCUGGCUUGCCUGAUGGUGAAUCUUAUCAUUUUCUUUCUGGUAGGCUGAUGACAUAAGAACGAAAGGCAAAGAUCUGUUUAGGCCUAAGAUGGAGUCAAUGAAGGAAAGAGUAGAGCCCCUCAGAACUUGAGUAAUGUUUUAAAACCAAUGCGUGCAUCUUCAUCUUUUUGCAACAGAGUUGGGGUCAUAAUCAUUCAAUACUCAACCCUAAAGACAGUAUAAUUUCAGACGGAAAACAUAUCGAGGAAGUAGCAUAUUGAGAGUAACAAAUCUUAAACUUUGUUGAGACUUUUGAUAAAUUGUAUUCUAAAGGGUAGCUAUACAAAUUCUAUGAGGGAAAACCAUAGUCUGUUAUCAGUUAAAGGGCAGAGGAGCAUAUAUUUUGGGUUAUUGUGUCUGUUUAUAAAUUGGUUUGUUUCAUGGACCAAUGAUCAAACUCACGUCGUGGCUGCUUCUGUUAAUCCAAUCUAACUCACCUACUCAACAUAUUGAUCUUUCAAAACAAAAUUAUAGUCUAAGGAGUCCUCAAUACACAUACACAACCGUAAAGUCUUAUUGAACACAAAUUCCUAAUUACUGUGGCAAAAUGUUAAAAAUGUUUUCUCUGGGUCCCACGACCAUGUGAGCUUACACAACUUUCCUGGAUACGAGAGCAUUCACCGUCAUAAAUCAAUCUGAGAGAGAAACUCAAUGGAAGUAAGAGUCAAGUCUGGUUUAAAUUGACGUAAGAAUCACGUCUAAUUAAAUUGACGUAAGAUUCUGAUGUCUUCAUGUUUUGUCUCUAAUAGUAGCUAAAUAUGGAUCUUGACGUCUUGUUCGGAAUAUAGACUGUGAGCCACACAAUAAGAAAUUUCACUACUGAAGAGUCAAGCAACGUAAACUGCGCUCUUAUCAUCGUUAUACUUUACGCUAUAUAUAUAUAUAUAUAUAGUUGGUUGGCUGCAAAACCAAAUCAUACAUACCAAAGCUUCUUCUUCAAUAUCUUUGUUUUCUUUCAAAGUCAUUAUUUUUCCAAAAUGGUGAAACCAUGUUUCCAUGUUUCUUCCAUCCCCUCUUUCUUAUCUGGUCUCUUUGUCUCCAGCUUCUUUGUCAACAGUCUUGUUUCCCUUCCAUUUCCUCGUCCGGACCAAAUUGAGCUCCUUAUGGCGUUUAAGAACGAGUUUCCAAUCCUCAAAUGCGACUUCAAAGAGUUGCCUAACUCGGAACAAAAGACAAAAUAUUGGACCAGCAAAGACGUUAAGUCCUUUGAUGGGGUUGUAUUUGAUAACGAGACUGGUGUAGUGACGAAACUAGACCUAGGUGGUGCAUGUCUCAGUGGCAGUCUCAGUGCUAAUAGUAGCCUUUUCAGAUUACACCACCUCAGGUACCUCGAUCUCUCUUUAAACUACUUUGAAUCCUUCUCAUUCCUCCCAGAACUUGGCAAUCUCACAAACUUAGAGGUCUUGCGUCUUUCUUAUAUGAGAUUAGCCGGUGAAAUUCCAUCCUCAUUCAGUAGCCUAAACCGUCUAACGGAGUUGCGCCUUGCCGGUAACAAGCUUAUUGGCAGUUUUUCCCCUCUUUUCAAUCUAUCAAAGCUCUCUUCUUUAAAUCUUGAUGAUAAUCUCUUUUCUGGAGAGGUUCCUUGUUCUCUACUCACCAUGCCUUUCCUUUCAAGUCUUCAUUUGAGCCAAAACCAUCUCAUCGACUCUCUUGAAACAAUGAAUUGCUCUUCAUCAUCUAAGCUUGAAGAAUUAUACCUUAGCUAUAACCGUCUCAGUGGUCGAAUCCUAGAGCCUCUCUCAAAAUUAACCAACCUCAAGUUCCUCGACCUAUCUUUUCAAAACACAACCGACCCAAUCAACUGCGUCUCCAUGGGUUUCAAGUCUUUAGAGAUCCUGGUUCUUACCGGGACUUCUAUCUCAAAGCUUAAUACCGGUUCCCCAAAUUUGGACAUGCUAUAUUUGGAUAACUGCAGCAUCAACGAGUUCCCCACAUUUAUUAAAAACCUAAAGAAGCUGGGAACUUUGCGCAUUGCAAACAAUAGACUCAAAGGAAAAGUGCCUAAAUGGUUAUUGGCUUUGCCUUCUUUGAGGGGAUUGUUUCUGUCUCACAACUCCCUGGAUGGCGUUGAAGGCUCUCCAAAAAUGCUUCUUAAUUCGUCUCUUGCAGUCUUAGAUUUGAGGUCUAACGCUUUUAAAGGAUCUCUUCCUCUUAUUUCACCGGGAUUGUGCGUCGUGCUUGCCUCAAAUAAUAGUUUCACAGGAGACAUUCCUCUUUCAUUGUGCAAUCAAAGCUACAUACCUAUCCUUGAUCUGUCGCACAACAAUUUCAGUGGUUCAAUUCCCCGUUGCUUGUUUACAAUGGUAAAAGAUAUGGAUCUCCGAAACAACAAUCUCACUGGGACACUUCCCGAGAUAUUUGACAAAACUUGCUCAAUGACAACACUUGACUUUAGCCAUAAUCAAAUAACUGGGAAGCUUCCAAGGUCGCUUACAAAUUGCGUAGACCUAAAGGUUCUAAACAUGGAGGGCAACAGAAUCGCUGACACCUUUCCGUUUUGGCUGAAGGAUCUACCGAACCUAAAAGUCAUGGUCCUACGAUCAAACAAGUUCCAUGGUCCAAUCUAUUCUCCUCAACAUCCUCUAUCCUUUCCACAUCUGCAGAUUGUUGACAUAUCCCGUAAUAAAUUCACCGGAAGACUACCACAUGAUUACUUUGUCAAUUGGAGUACAACUUUGAUUACUACUCCUCAAGAGGAAACAGAGCUAUAUUACAUGGGAGAGGGUACCAUGUAUGAUUAUUACCCUUCCAUGUAUUUGAGAAACAAAGGAAUAAACAUGGAGCUGGAAAAGAUCCUUGAUACCUACACAGCCAUUGACUUCUCUGAAAACAAACUUGGAGGACAGAUUCCAGAAUCUAUAAGUCUUUUGAAGUCGCUUAUUGUGCUCGACCUAUCCAGCAAUGAUUUCAGUGGUCAUAUUCCAUCUUCUUGGGCUAAUCUCACGAACCUCGAGUCACUAGACCUAUCUCGGAACCAACUCUCUGGAAAAAUCCCGCAGGAGCUAGCAACCCUCUCGUUCUUGGAGUAAAUCAACGUUUCGCAUAACAAACUCACGGGCCAGAUACCACAGGGCACACAGUUUGGUGGACAGCCCAA